rnacentral:rRNA from 1 species
CGAACGGGUGAGUAAUGCGUGACCAACCUGCCCCAUGCUCCAGAAUAGCUCUUGGAAACGGGUGGUAAUGCUGGAUGCUCCAACUUGACGCAUGUCUUGUUGGGAAAGUGUUUAGUGGCAUGGGACGGGGUCGCGUCCUAUCAGCUUGUAGGCGGGGUAAUGGCCCACCUAGGCUUCGACGGGUAGCCGGCCUGAGAGGGCGGACGGCCACAUUGGGACUGAGAUACGGCCCAGACUCCUACGGGAGGCAGCAGGC